rnacentral:rRNA from 1 species
UAAACUAGGGAUUAGAUACCCUAUUAUUUUUAUUAAAUUAAAUUUAAUUAUUUAUUAAAUGUAAAACAUUAAAAAUAAAAAAUUUGGCGGUACUUAAUAUUUAGAGGAACUUGUUUGUUAAAUUGAUAGUCCACGAAUGGAAGAACUUAAUUUGAUAGUUUUAUGUAUUGUUGUUGAAAAAUUGUAUUAAAAGAUAAAAAUUAAUAAAUUUAAUUAAAUUAUAAUUCAAAUCAAAAUGUAGAAUAAUUAAGAAUUUAAAUGAGUUACAAUUAAAUAAAUAAUUGAAUUUUAUAAUUUAAUUUAUAAAUGAAAAUGGAUUUAAAAGUAAAUUUAUAAAAAUAUAUAAUUGAAA